AAAGGUAUUAGAAAUUAGGUAGUAAAGGUAUUUCCGAAACCCUAAAGGACUUGGCGGUAUUUUAAAUAAUUGGAGGAACUUGUUAUUUAAUUGGAACUCCCCAACAUAUCUCCCCCUAUUUUUGUUUGUAUAUCGUUGUUUCAAGACAACAUUUUUUAAUAUAGUCUAAAGCAAAAUUAUUCUAGAAAUCAAAUCAAGGUGCAGCAUAGUAGGUUUAUAAUGAGUUACAGCGAAUAUUAUUCAAAACGGAGACGGAAUGGAAAAGUGUGUGGAAGGUAGAUUCAAAAGUAAUAGAAAAUUAAAAAGUUUUUAGGAAUAAUGAUUUAAAAUAUGC
rnacentral:rRNA from 1 species